GCAACCAUAGUGUAGUGGUCAACAUGCUCGCCUUCCAUCUAGUGGCUAGCGAGCGGCCCGGGUUCGAGCCCCGGUGGUUGCA